rnacentral:rRNA from 1 species
AUUGAACGCUGGCGGCAGGCCUAACACAUGCAAGUCGAACGAGUGGCGGACGGGUGAGUAAUGUCUGGGAAACUGCCUGAUGGAGGGGGAUAACUACUGGAAACGGUAGCUAAUACCGCAUACCAUCGGAUGUGCCCAGAUGUGAUUAGCUAGUAGGUGGGGUAAAGGCUCACCUAGGCGACGAUCCCUAGCUGGUCUGAGUGGAUGACCAGCCACACUGGAACUGAGACACGGUCCAGACGCAUACGGGAGGCAGAAGUGGGGAAGAUUGCACAAUGGGCGAAAGCCGGAUGCAGCAAUGCCGCGUAGAUGAAGAAGGCCUUCGGGUUGUAAAGUACUUUAAGCGGGGAGGCGGUACCGGCAGAAGAAGCACCGGCUAACUCCGUGCCAGCCGCCGCGGUAAUUC